GUUCUGCUCAAUGAUAAAAUUCAAUAGCCGCAGUAUAUUAACUGUGCAAAGGUAGCAUAAUAAAUUGUUUAUUAAAUGUAAACUUGUAUGAAUGAAUUGAUAAAAUAAAAUCUUUAUUAAUUUAAUUAAAUUGAAUUUGUUUUUUUAAUUAAAAAAUUAAAAUUUCUGAAUUAGACGAGAAGACCCUAUAGAAUUUUAUAAUUUAAAUUAAUUAUUUUUAAAUUUAUUGAGUUUAAAUUAUUUUAUUGGGAGGAUAAUUAAAUUUAUUUAACUUUAAUUUUUUAAUUAACAAAUAUAAUUGAAUUAAAGGAAUUUUUAUUAAAAUUAAAAAGAAAAAUUACCUUAGGGAUAACAGAGUACUAUUUUUGGAAAGAUCAUAUUGAUAAAAAUGUUUACUACCUCGAUGUUGAAUUAAGAUAAAGUUUAUUAGAAGAAAAAUAAAUUUUUAGUCUGUUCGACUAUUAAAAUCUUCAUGAUUUGAGUUCAAAUC
rnacentral:rRNA from 1 species